UUAGUUAAAACCAAAAAGAGGUAUAUUAUUGUUAAUAAUAAAAUUGAAUUUAUUUCUAACUAAU
rnacentral:tRNA from 2 species